rnacentral:rRNA from 1 species
UGGGGAAUAUUGCACAAUGGGCGCAAGCCUGAUGCAGCCAUGCCGCGUGUGUGAAGAAGGCCUUCGGGUUGUAAAGCACUUUCAGCGAGGAGGGAGGUGGUGAGCUUAAUACGCUCAUCAAUUGACGUUACUCGCAGAAGAAGCACCGGCUAACUCCGUGCCAGCAGCCGCGGUAAUACGGAGGGUGCAAGCGUUAAUCGGAAUUACUGGGCGUAAAGCGCACGCAGGCGGUUUGUUAAGUCAGAUGUGAAAUCCCCGGGCUCAACCUGGGAACUGCAUUUGAAACUGGCAAGCUAGAGUCUCGUAGAGGGGGGUAGAAUUCCAGGUGUAGCGGUGAAAUGCGUAGAGAUCUGGAGGAAUACCGGUGGCGAAGGCGGCCCCCUGGACGAAGACUGACGCUCAGGUGCGAAAGCGUGGGGCAGCAAACAGGAUUAGAUACCCUGGUAGUCCACGCUGUAAACGAUGUCGAUUUUGGAGGUUGUGCCCCUUGAGGCGUGGCUUCCGGAGCUAACGCGUUAAAUCGACCGCCUGGGGAGUACGGCC